rnacentral:rRNA from 1 species
GACGUAGGUGGCGAACGUUAUCCGGAAUCAUUGGGCGUAAAGGGUGCGUAGAUGGCAUGAUAAGUUAUUAGUGGGAAAUCGAGGCUCAACCUCGUGGAAGCUAGUAAUACUGUUUUGCUUGAGUACAGAAGAGGUUAACGGAACUCCAUGUGGAGCGGUAAAAUGCGUAGAUAUAUGGAUGAACACCAAUAACGGCGAAGGCAGUUAACUAUUCUGUUACUGACAUUGAGGCACGAAAGCGUGGGGAGCAAAACGG